CCUUGACAUGCUGAGAGCUUUCCAGAGAUGGAUUGGUGCCUUCGGGAACUCAGACACAGGUGCUGCAUGGCUGUCGUCAGCUCGUGUCGUGAGAUGUUGGGUUAAGUCCCGUAACGAGCGCAACCCUUGUCCUUAGUUACCAGCACCUCGGGUGGGCACUCUAAGGAGACUGCCGGUGACAAACCGGAGGAAGGUGGGAUGACGCCAAGUCAUCAUGGCCCUUACGGCCAGGGCUACACACGUGCUACAAUGGUCGGUACAAAGGGUUGCCAAGCCGCGAGGUGGAGCUAAUCCCAUAAAACCGAUCGUAGUCCGGAUCGCAGUCUGCAACUCGACUGCGUGAAGUCGGAAUCGCUAGUAAUCGUGAAUCAGAAUGUCACGGUGAAUACGUUCCCGGGCCUUGUACACACCGCCCGUCACACCAUGGGAGUGGGUUGCUCCAGAAGUAGCUAGUCUAACCUUCGGGAGGACGGUUACCACGGAGUGAUUCAUGACUGGGGUGAAGUCGUAACAAGGUAGGCGUAGAUGA
rnacentral:rRNA from 1 species